GGCAUCCCGCUCGGGUUGCCUUCCACACUGUGGGAGUUGUGUUGUUCUGCUCUUUGCUAUCAAUCUUGCUACUGCUUUUUGGGUCCACACUGCUUUUAUGAGCUGCAACACUCACUGGGAAGGUCUGCAGGUUCACUCCUGAAGUCAUUGAAACCACGAACCCACUGGGAGAAACAAAUAACUCCAGACGUGCCACCUUAAGAGCUGUAACACUCACCUGGAAGGCCUGUAGCUUCACUCCUGAGCCAGCGAGCCCACGAACCCCCCAGAAGGAAAAAACUCCGAACACAUGCGAACAUCAGAAGGAACAAACUCCGGACACGACGUCUUUAAGAACUGUAACACUCACCAUGAGGGUCUGCGGCUUCAUUCUUGAAGUCAGUGAGACCAAGAACCCACCAAUUCUGGACACACUGUAAUAUGUGUACUAUAUUCCUAUUUUACAAAUGAGACAAUUGAGGCCAGUUAAUUUGCUUGUCCCACAGAGAUUAUGUGGCAUGGCCAGACUCACUGAACCUGUGCGGCCUGAUGCCCAAAAUGCUAUUGUAACCACGAGUGAUACUGUCUUCUGGGAUAAGAGGUUCCCUUCCAAAUCAGGGGGUACCUGAUUGGUGUAAAAGCCUGUAACCCUUCAGAGGUGAGCACCAAAGUUUGACCAGGAGAUAAAUUGAAAAUCUGCUACAGUGGAGGCCAUCUGAUUUCUGUCAGAUAGAUCUUUAAGCUCACUGGCUGUUAAAAUUUGGUGUACAGUGGGUUACCCCUUACUGUAAGGGAAGAAAGGUAUAGUUUAAAGUGUGG
rnacentral:lncRNA from 1 species